GCAGUUUUCUUACAAAAACUCAACGAGUAAAGUCUUCUCAUUUGGGAUUUUACAGUAUCUGAAAGGAAAAAGGAUGCGAAUCCGAACAUAUAAAGUAUACACAUGUAUAUUCUUGAUCGGGAUUAAGAGCGAAGUCAAUCCAACCACGUUCGUCUGUUUGUCCGGACCUAUUCGGGCUGAAAUGUUGGAAUCAAACAUGGAGAUUCUAGUGACACCUAGCUCAUCAAUUUUUUUCAUUGCACGCCAUAACGGCAACAAAACGCUAAAAGCUGUGAACUGGCAACUUAUAAAAAAAAGUUAUUCAGUCAAACAUCAGAGCGUCGAAGCUAUUAUUGAAACUGUCGCUAGAUGGCGCACAUGGGUCACAUGUGUCUCCAUCUCCCUUGCACUACCUUGCAACGACUAACGGGUAUCUGAUAGUCGAAAAGGUGCAAAAUUGAAAAGAUGUGCGCAAGUAUUUAAAUAGCUGCGUGAAAUCUCUGUACAGCAAUUCAUUUUGGAUGAUAAGAGAGUUCAUAAAGGCAAGCAAAUAUUCUGAAUUUGGCGCAAGAGAAUUUUAGUUUUAGCCGAUGGAGUCGACAUUUAAGCAUAAAGCUUAUGUAAAUGUGCUAUGCCUCUUAGAUUGAACAAGGAUCGUUAUUUAUUGGUGUUGUUAUUGUUAAUAAUAAAUUGUUAAUAAAUAAAUUAAAUUAAAAGGCCUG
rnacentral:lncRNA from 1 species